rnacentral:rRNA from 2 species
UAAGAGCUUGCUCUUAUGAAGUUAGCGGCGGACGGGUGAGUAACACGUGGGUAACCUGCCCAUAAGACUGGGAUAACUCCGGGAAACCGGGGCUAAUACCGGAUAACAUUUUGAACCGCAUGGUUCGAAAUUGAAAGGCGGCUUCGGCUGUCACUUAUGGAUGGACCCGCGUCGCAUUAGCUAGUUGGUGAGGUAACGGCUCACCAAGGCAACGAUGCGUAGCCGACCUGAGAGGGUGAUCGGCCACACUGGGACUGAGACACGGCCCAGACUCCUACGGGAGGCAGCAGUAGGGAAUCUUCCGCAAUGGACGAAAGUCUGACGGAGCAACGCCGCGUGAGUGAUGAAGGCUUUCGGGUCGUAAAACUCUGUUGUUAGGGAAGAACAAGUGCUAGUUGAAUAAGCUGGCACCUUGACGGUACCUAACCAGAAAGCCACGGCUAACUACGUGCCAGCAGCCGCGGUAAUACGUAGGUGGCAAGCGUUAUCCGGAAUUAUUGGGCGUAAAGCGCGCGCAGGUGGUUUCUUAAGUCUGAUGUGAAAGCCCACGGCUCAACCGUGGAGGGUCAUUGGAAACUGGGAGACUUGAGU